AUCGCGAUAAUUUGCAUGUGUUGCUAUUCAAAAUUAACGUUAACAGCUGUUGUGUUACAAAAGACAGAAGAGAAAGCAAAUUGACAGAAGAAGGUGUGGUCUAGGAUCUCGCUUAUCAGCCUAAUAAAUAAACAAACUCAAAAUUUCAGAGUCUUGGCUUUCCUCAAGGAUUCAUCUGUCCUUUGUACCAUCCAUCCUCCCCUCUAUUCUGACAAGCUUCCCAGUCCCUGCUGAGGAGAAACAUCCCCAUA